rnacentral:rRNA from 2 species
UGCAGUCGACGAGUUCUGAUUAUUGAAAGGUGCUUGCAUCUUGAUUUAAUUUUGAACGAGUGGCGGACGGGUGAGUAACACGUGGGUAACCUGCCCUUAAGUGGGGGAUAACAUUUGGAAACAGAUGCUAAUACCGCAUAAAUCCAAGAACCGCAUGGUUCUUGGCUGAAAGAUGGCGUAAGCUAUCGCUUUUGGAUGGACCCGCGGCGUAUUAGCUAGUUGGUGAGGUAACGGCUCACCAAGGCAAUGAUACGUAGCCGAACUGAGAGGUUGAUCGGCCACAUUGGGACUGAGACACGGCCCAAACUCCUACGGGAGGCAGCAGUAGGGAAUCUUCCACAAUGGACGCAAGUCUGAUGGAGCAACGCCGCGUGAGUGAAGAAGGCUUUCGGGUCGUAAAACUCUGUUGUUGGAGAAGAAUGGUCGGCAGAGUAACUGUUGUCGGCGUGACGGUAUCCAACCAGAAAGCCACGGCUAACUACGUGCCAGCAGCCGCGGUAAUACGUAGGUGGCAAGCGUUAUCCGGAUUUAUUGGGCGUAAAGCGAGCGCAGGCGGUUUUUUAAGUCUGAUGUGAAAGCCCUCGGCUUAACCGAGGAAGUGCAUCGGAAACUGGGAAACUUGAGUGCAGAAGAGGACAGUGGAACUCCAUGUGUAGCGGUGAAAUGCGUAGAUAUAUGGAAGAACACCAGUGGCGAAGGCGGCUGUCUGGUCUGUAACUGACGCUGAGGCUCGAAAGCAUGGGUAGCGAACAGGAUUAGAUACCCUGGUAGUCCAUGCCGUAAACGAUGAAUGCUAGGUGUUGGAGGGUUUCCGCCCUUCAGUGCCGCAGCUAACGCAUUAAGCAUUCCGCCUGGGGAGUACGACCGCAAGGUUGAAACUCAAAGGAAUUGACGGGGGCCCGCACAAGCGGUGGAGCAUGUGGUUUAAUUCGAAGCAACGCGAAGAACCUUACCAGGUCUUGACAUCUUUUGAUCACCUGAGAGAUCAGGUUUCCCCUUCGGGGGCAAAAUGACAGGUGGUGCAGGGUUGUCGUCAGCUCGUGUCGGGAGAUGUUGGGUUAAGUCCCGCAACGAGCGCAACCCUUAUGACUAGUUGCCAGCAUUUAGUUGGGCACUCUAGUAAGACUGCCGGUGACAAACCGGAGGAAGGUGGGGAUGACGUCAAAUCAUCAUGCCCCUUAUGACCUGGGCUACACACGUGCUACAAUGGAUGGUACAACGAGUUGCGAGACCGCGAGGUCAAGCUAAUCUCUUAAAGCCAUUCUCAGUUCGGACUGUAGGCUGCAACUCGCCUACACGAAGUCGGAAUCGCUAGUAAUCGCGGAUCAGCACGCCGCGGUGAAUACGUUCCCGGGCCUUGUACACACCGCCCGUCACACCAUGAGAGUUUGUAACACCCGAAGCCGGUGGCGUAACCC